rnacentral:rRNA from 1 species
AGUGAACGCUGGCGGUAGGCCUAACACAUGCAAGUCGAACGGCAGCACAGUAAGAGCUUGCUCUUACGGGUGGCGAGUGGCGGACGGGUGAGGAACACAUCGGAAUCUACUUUUUCGUGGGGGAUAACGUAGGGAAACUUACGCUAAUACCGCAUACGACCGACGGGUGAAAGCAGGGGAUCUUCGGACCUUGCGCGAUUGAAUGAGCCGAUGUCGGAUUAGCUAGUUGGCGGGGUAAAGGCCCACCAAGGCGACGAUCCGUAGCUGGUCUGAGAGGAUGAUCAGCCACACUGGAACUGAGACACGGUCCAGACUCCUACGGGAGGCAGCAGUGGGGAAUAUUGGACAAUGGGCGCAAGCCUGAUCCAGCCAUACCGCGUGGGUGAAGAAGGCCUUCGGGUUGUAAAGCCCUUUUGUUGGGAAAGAAAAGCAGCAGGUUAAUACCCCGCUGUUCUGACGGUACCCAAAGAAUAAGCACCGGCUAACUUCGUG